UACGUAGGGUGCGAGCGUUGUCCGGAAUUAUUGGGCGUAAAGGGCUCGUAGGCGGUUUGUCGCGUCGGGAGUGAAACACCGGGCUUAACUCGGUGCUUGCUUUCGAUACGGGCAGACUAGAGGUAUGCAGGGGGAGAACGGAAUUCCUGGUGUAGCGGUAGAAAUGCGCAGAUAUCAGGAGGAACACCGGUGGCGAAGGCGGUUCUCUGGGCAUUACCUGACGCUGAGGAGCGAAAGUGUGGGGAGCGAACAGGAUUAGAACCGUACCGUACG
rnacentral:rRNA from 1 species